rnacentral:misc_RNA from 1 species
AAGUCGUAACAAGGUUUCCGUAGGUCGGGUGAGACGCAUAGCUGUAAUCGAGAGAUCGUGGCAAAAGGUCUGACUGCUCCGUAAAGUCCCCCGCGUGCAUUGGAAAGUGGCAUUGGGGUGUAUGUACUGGAGAAACCCCUCUGGAUGAUGGAAGGCCACCACGGCCUGUCACUGCGCUUUCCGGGCGGUCGUGCCCCCCAGGAUGUCCCCGCUAUCAGUCGAAACGACCAACCUGUGCAACCAUUGCGUGUUGAGCCCAUGGGCGUCGUAUUUUUGAAAUACUUGAACAACUGUUAACAAUGGAUAUCUUGGUUCUC